GCUCAACGGAUAAAAGCUACCCCGGGGAUAACAGGCUUAUCUCCCCCAAGAGUUCACAUCGACGGGGAGGUUUGGCACCUCGAUGUCGGCUCAUCGCAUCCUGGGGCUGUAGUCGGUCCCAAGGGUUGGGCUGUUCGCCCAUUAAAGCGGUACGCGAGCUGGGUUCAGAACGUCGUGAGACAGUUCGGUCCCUAUCCGUCGUGGGCGUAGGAAAUUUGAGAGGAGCUGUCCUUAGUACGAGAGGACCGGGAUGGACAUACCUCUGGUGUACCAGUUGUCGUGCCAACGGCAUAGCUGGGUAGCUAUGUGUGGACGGGAUAAGUGCUGAAAGCAUCUAAGCAUGAAGCCCCCCUCAAGAUGAGAUUUCCCAACUUCGGUUAUAAGAUCCCUCAAAGAUGAUGAGGUUAAUAGGUUCGAGGUGGAAGCAUGGUGACAUGUGGAGCUGACGAAUACUAAUCGAUCGAAGACUUAAUCAA
rnacentral:rRNA from 1 species